rnacentral:rRNA from 1 species
GACGAACGCUGGCGGCGUGCCUAAUACAUGCAAGUUGAGCGAUGAAGAUUGGUGCUUGCACCAAUUUGAAGAGCAGCGAACGGGUGAGUAACGCGUGGGGAAUCUGCCUUUGAGCGGGGGACAACAUUUGGAAACGAAUGCUAAUACCGCAUAACAACUUUAAACAUAAGUUUUAAGUUUGAAAGAUGCAAUUGCAUCACUCAAAGAUGAUCCCGCGUUGUAUUAGCUAGUUGGUGAGGUAAAGGCUCACCAAGGCGAUGAUACAUAGCCGACCUGAGAGGGUGAUCGGCCACAUUGGGACUGAGACACGGCCCAAACUCCUACGGGAGGCAGUAGUAGGGAAUCUUCGGCAAUGGACGAAAGUCUGACCGAGCAACGCCGCGUGAGUGAAGAAGGGUUUCGGAUCGUAAAACUCUGUUGGUAGAGAAGAACGUUGGUGAGAGUGGAAAGCUCAUCAAGUGACGGUAACUACCCAGAAAGGGACGGCUAACUACGUG